GGUUCAGGAUGAACGCUAGCGGCAGGCUUAACACAUGCAAGGUCGAGGGGCAUCGGGAGUAGCAAUACUUGCCGGCGACCGGCGCAAGGGUGCGUAACGCGUGAGCAACAUGCCCGUAUCAGGGGGAUAAUCCAUGGAAACGUGGUCUAAUACCCCAUAGUAAUUAUGUAAGGCAUCUUAUAUAAUUUAAAGCUUUGGUGGAUACGGAUUGGCUCGCGUGACAUUAGCUAGAUGGUAAGGUAACGGCUUACCAUGGCUACGAUGUCUAGGGGUUCUGAGAGGAAGGUCCCCACACUGGAACUGAGACACGGUCCAGACUCCUACGGGAGGCAGCAGUGAGGAAUAUUGGACAAUGGAUGGAAAUCUGAUCCAGCCAUGCCGCGUGCAGGAAGACGGCCCUAUGGGUUGUAAACUGCUUUUGUAUGGGAGCAAUAAGGGCUACGUGUAGUCCGAUGAGAGUACCAUACGAAUAAGCACCGGCUAACUCCGUGCCAGCCGCCGC
rnacentral:rRNA from 1 species